UCUGAAGAAGGCCUUCGGGUUGUAAAGGACUUUUGUUAGGGAAGAAAAGCCGGGUGCUAAUACCACCUGGUGCUGACGGUACCUAAAGAAUAAGCACCGGCUAACUACGUGCCAGCAGCCGCGGUAAUACGUAGGGUGCGAGCGUUAAUCGGAAUUACUGGGCGUAAAGCGAGCGCAGACGGUUAAUUAAGUCAGAUGUGAAAUCCCCGAGCUCAACUUGGGACGUGCAUUUGAAACUGGUUAACUAGAGUGUGUCAGAGGGAGGUAGAAUUCCACGUGUAGCAGUGAAAUGCGUAGAGAUGUGGAGGAAUACCGAUGGCGAAGGCAGCCUCCUGGGAUAACACUGACGUUCAUGCUCGAAAGCGUGGGUAGCAAACAGGAUUAGAUACCCUGGUAGUCCACGCCCUAAACGAUGACAAUUAGCUGUUGGGACACUAGAUGUCUUAGUAGCGAAGCUAACGCGUGAAAUUGUCCGCCUGGGGAGUACGGUCGCAAGAUUAAAACUCAAAGGAAUUGACGGGGACCCGCACAAGCGGUGGAUGAUGUGGAUUAAUUCGAUGCAACGCGAAGAACCUUACCUGGUCUUGACAUGUACGGAAUCUCUUAGAGAUAGGAGAGUGCCUUCGGGAGCCGUAACACAGGUGCUGCAUGGCUGUCGUCAGCUCGUGUCGUGAGAUGUUGGGUUAAGUCCCGCAACGAGCGCAACCCUUGUCAUUAGUUGCCAUCAUUAAGUUGGGCACUCUAAUGAGACUGCCGGUGACAAACCGGAGGAAGGUGGGGAUGACGUCAAGUCCUCAUGGCCCUUAUGACCAGGGCUUCACACGUCAUACAAUGGUCGGUACAGAGGGUAGCGAAGCCGCGAGGUGAAGCCAAUCUCAGAAAGCCGAUCGUAGUCCGGAUUGCACUCUGCAACUCGAGUGCAUGAAGUCGGAAUCGCUAGUAAUCGCAGGUCAGCAUACUGCGGUGAAUACGUUCCCGGGUCUUGUACACACCGCCCGUCACACCAUGGGAGUGGGGGAUACCAGAAUUGGGUAGACUAACCGCAAGGAGGUCGCUU
rnacentral:rRNA from 1 species